rnacentral:rRNA from 1 species
AGUCACUGACAUUAGAUACCCGUGUAGUCCAGGGUGUAAACGCUGCAGACUUGGUGUUGGAAGUCCUUUGGGGGCAUUCAGUGCCGGAGAGAAGUUGUUAAGUCUGCUACUUGGGAGUACGUCCGCAAGGAUGAAACUUAAGGAAUUGGCGGGGAGCACCGCAACGGGAGGUAGCGUGCGGUUUAAUUGGAUUCAACGCCGAAAACUCACCAGCAGCGACUGUUACAUGAAAGUCAGGUUGAUGACCUUACUAGAUUUUCAG